AUUCCAGUGGACUUCUCAGAAAAUUGUAAAUGGCUGAAUUGUCCCUGAGGCAGAAGGCUUACUUUAUUUUUUUCAAAACAAGAUAUUUUCUCAUUCUUUGCUAGUCUCGAUAUGCUAAAGAAUUACUGUGCAGAUCAUAAUAGUCUGUCUAUGAAUUGCAUGCAUUUUAUAACUAUUUGCAAGUGUUCAGGAAUACAUUUGAUUUAGUGCACAUGUGAUUUGACAUCGUUUGUAAGGGUUCCACUUAUAUGGCCUUGAUUUAGUAUUUAAACUUUCUUUGUCAAACAUGGAAAAAAUGUUUAGUAUUUUCUUUACAAAAUUUCUCAAGUGAGGAAUCAGGAGAAGCACAAGUCAAAUAAUACUUUCAAAGAAAGAAAAACAAUCCUGAUGAACAAUGCCCAUAGUGUACAAAUAGCAGAAAGGAAGUAUGUAUACAGACAAUGAGAGGCUAAGAGACAUUGUUCACAGGAUAAAUUUGAUUAAUGGUCACACUGAUUUUGUGACAAUAAUUCUGGAAGGGAUUUAGGGCUGAGAUGAAACGACGGACAAAAGAGAAGAUAGCAACCAGUGCUUCAAUGACUGCAUACAAUCCAGUGGUGGAGCUCAUCUGACACCACAGGAAGCUCAGGUCGCUUGGACAAUUGACCCAAAGUUCAUCCCAGAGAUUUCUGACUGUGACAUCACUACAGUGCAUAGGUGAGCUUUUUGAUAGGUUCACAGACAUUUAUGUCACAAUCACAAAAAAGUGUAUUGAAAGUUGUGCCUUGGGAUCCAGCUUAGUGAUUCCUCCAUCUUCCUGGCCUCAGAUACAGUGGUUGUUGCUCCUCUAUUUGAUUGCCA